rnacentral:snRNA from 1 species
GGAUGCGAGGGCGAUCUGGCUGCGACAUCUGUCACCCCAUUGAUGGCCAGGGUUGAUUCGGCUGAUCUGGCUGGCUAGGCAGGUGUCCUCUUCCUCCCUCACCGCUCCAUGUGCGUCCCUCCCAAAGCUAUGCGCUCGGUCGAAGAGGACGGCCUCCCCCGAAUAUAGACAGACCAGUCUUCGGUCAAGGGUAUACGAGUAGCUGCGCUCCCCUGCUAGAACUUCCAAACAAGUUCUCAGAAUUCUCAAAGGGCUGACCAGAGAGACAUCUGGCCCACAU